rnacentral:rRNA from 1 species
GGGUUGUGAGGUUAAGCGACUAAGCGUACACGGUGGAUGCCCUGGCAGUCAGAGGCGAUGAAGGGCGUGCUAAUCUGCGAUAAGCGCCGGUAAGGUGAUAUGAACCGUUAUAACCGGCGAUACCCGAAUGGGGAAACCCAGUGUGAUUCGUCACACUAUCAUUAACUGAAUCCAUAGGUUAAUGAGGCGAACCGGGGGAACUGAAACAUCUAAGUACCCCGAGGAAAAGAAAUCAACCGAGAUUCCCCCAGUAGCGGCGAGCGAACGGGGAGGAGCCCAGAGCCUGAAUCAGCAUGUGUGUUAGUGGAAGCGUCUGGAAAGGCGCGCGAUACAGGGUGACAGCCCCGUACACAAAAGCGUAUGUGCUGUGAGCUCGAUGAGUAGGGCGGGACACGUGGUAUCCUGUCUGAAUAUGGGGGGACCAUCCUCCAAGGCUAAAUACUCCUGACUGACCGAUAGUGAACCAGUACCGUGAGGGAAAGGCGAAAAGAACCCCGGCGAGGGGAGUGAAAAAGAACCUGAAACCGUGUACGUACAAGCAGUGGGAGCACCCUUUGGGGUGUGACUGCGUACCUUUUGUAUAAUGGGUCAGCGACUUAUAUUCUGUAGCAAGGUUAACCGAAUAGGGGAGCCGGAGGGAAACCGAGUCUUAAUUGGGCGUUAAGUUGCAGGGUAUAGACCCGAAACCCGGUGAUCUAGCCAUGGGCAGGUUGAAGGUUGGGUAACACUAACUGGAGGACCGAACCGACUAAUGUUGAAAAAUUAGCGGAUGACCUGUGGCUGGGGGUGAAAGGCCAAUCAAACCGGGAGAUAGCUGGUUCUCCCCGAAAGCUAUUUAGGUAGCGCCUCGUGAAUUCAUCUCCGGGGGUAGAGCACUGUUUCGGCUAGGGGGCCAUCCCGGCUUACCAACCCGAUGCAAACUGCGAAUACCGGAGAAUGUUAUCACGGGAGACACACGGCGGGUGCUAACGUCCGUCGUGAAGAGGGAAACAACCCAGACCGCCAGCUAAGGUCCCAAAGUCAUGGUUAAGUGGGAAACGAUGUGGGAAGGCCCAGACAGCCAGGAUGUUGGCUUAGAAGCAGCCAUCAUUUAAAGAAAGCGUAAUAGCUCACUGGUCGAGUCGGCCUGCGCGGAAGAUGUAACGGGGCUAAACCAU